UCAGACGAUGCGUCAUGCAUAUCAAUAAGCGGAGGAAAAGAAACUAACAAGGAUUCCCCUAGUAACGGCGAGUGGAGCGGGAAGAGCUCAAAUUUGAAAUCUUAAAGGGUUUCCCUUUACGAAUUGUAGUUUAAAGAAGUGUUUUCUGUUGAGGCUUUGGUAAAAGUUCUUUGGAAUAGGACAUCAUAGAGGGUGAGAAUCCCGUAUUUGACCUUUACUUUCAACCUUGUGAUACACUUUCAAAGAGUCGGAUUGUUUGGGAAUGCAGUCCAAAAUGGGUGGUAAAUUUCAUCUAAAGCUAAAUAUUGGCGAGAGACCGAUAGCGAACAAGUACCGUGAGGGAAAGAUGAAAAGAACUUUGAAAAGAGAGUUAAACAGUACGUGAAAUUGUCAAAAGGGAAGCGUUUGACACCAGUGUUGUUUUUCUGAAAAUCAAUUAAAGAACUGUUUAUGCUAAGUUGUUUAGACUUUAUCAGCUAACUGUUUAGUUUUGAGCUUUUCUUUAAUGCACUUUUCAGUUAACAAGUCAACAUCAAUUUCUUUUGCUGUAAAAAAGCUUGAGGAAGGUGGCUUGAGAUUCGUCUUAAGUGUUUAUAGCCUCUUGCCUAUGCAGUCGGAGAGAUUGAGGUCUGCAGCGUAGAUCCUUCGGGGCUAAAUGCAUUUGUGCUAAGUUAUAGCAUUUUAUAGACAACUUGUUGACUAUGAUUUGUCUUGUAGCUUACUCGCUUAUGUUAUUUUACCUACGCUUAGGAUGUUGAAUCUGUGCGAGACUAC
rnacentral:rRNA from 1 species